ACCCAGCUGACGAGUCCCAAAUAGGAUGAAACACGCGUCCUGGAU
rnacentral:hammerhead_ribozyme from 1 species